UGAUCCAAGACGGAUUCGAACCGUCGGCCUUCUGCGUGUAAAGCAGACGUGAUAACCACUACACCACUGGACC